GAUGAACGCUGGCGGCGUGCCUAAUACAUGCAAGUCGAGCGAACAGACGAGGAGCUUGCUCCUCUGACGUUAGCGGCGGACGGGUGAGUAACACGUGGAUAACCUACCUAUAAGACUGGUAUAACUUCGGGAAACCGGAUCUAAUACCGGAUAAUAUAUUGAACCGCAUGGUUCAAUAGUGAAAGACGGUUUUGCUGUCACUUAUAGAUGGAUCCGAGCCGCAUUAGCUAGUUGGUAAGGUAACGGCCUACCAAGGCAACGAUUCGUAGCCGACGUGAGAGAGUGGUAGCCGGCCUUGGAACGUAGCCACGGUCCUGAGUACUGAGGGACGGAGCAGUCGCGUACGGGACGCAAUGGGGGAAAGCCUGACGCAGCGAGGCGGCGUGAGUGACAAAAGCCUUGCGAUCGUAAAAAUGUGUUAUGAGGGGAGAACCGAUGUGUACGUUAACAUGGCCGUAUUGACGGUAACUAAUAAGAAAGCAACGGCUAACUACGUG
rnacentral:rRNA from 1 species